GUAUAUAAAGCUGGAAACUGAAGGAAUUUGCACUUUACCCUGAAGUCACUGAGUAAGGGGGAGGACGGGCACACAAUGAGGGCAGUGCGUGCCAGACCUGGCCACCCGCCCAACGCCGUGACGUCAGUCCCAAAGCCCGGGGGCCCUGGCCGCCCUGGGGUCUCUCCGGCCUCCUCCCUCGGUCCAGCGGCUGCAGGUGGGGAGAGACCCGGCCCGAAGGCACCACGAUCUGGGCAGGUACAUCUGGCAUCCAGAUUCCACAUCGCACUGGGCUUUCUGCAGGAGCAAGGAGCUGUUUGCUUUGACAACUCUCUGGAGCCUGGCGAACCCCUCUCAGGACAAAAAUGGUCCUUCAAGACCAAAUCCUUCCCACUAUGGGGACGCUGCCAAGGUUUCUGCAGCUACCAGCACAGUAAAGAAAACGAACAGUUCCAACACCAAAGGAUCUCUGCAGGCAAGCCUGCAGUGCGUCACCCCAGAGAUCGUCAGAAACAUUCUGUGGAGCCCUCCACGGGGACAAAGUCACAAAAGGCCAUAAGGCGCAAUGAGGCAGUCCUCGCCUGGGCAACCACGAACGCCCAGAGUUCCUGGAAGGAGCCCGGGACUGGGCUCUGCGAGCCCCGCGCUCACUCAUCCUGGGAAGCUCUACUGGUCCCACUUCGGUCCCAGUCCCGGAAGGCCGGGAGACGCUGCGGAGGCACUGACGAGGGAGGGCCAACGCGGGCCCCCUUGACCUAAAGCUGUCCUGUUUGGCGCCUCGACAGAAGGGACUGACAGACACACUCUGGACUCGAGCAGGCAGAACUCAGGUCCGCUUUCGCUUGGCGCCGCUCUCCCCCGUGCGGUCCGACCCCGCGCCGGCCGCCGCAGCACCUAGCGAGAAGCCCGCGGCACCGCAGGACCUGGGGGCGCCCGCGCAGCAGAGCAGCCUGGCAUUGAGCCUCGAGUUGCAGGCCGCGCGGGCUGCAGCCGAGGGCCAGUUCGAUGCGGCGAAGGCCGUGGAGGAACAGCUGAGAAAGUCGUUCCAGACCCGCUGCGGCCUGGAGGAGAGCGUGGCCGAGGGUGAGAGAGAGAGAGACGCCCGGCGGGGCGCGGGAAGUGGGGCUGAGAGGCGCCGCUCACCUCCGCUCCCCCUGCGGUCUCAGGGCUGAACGUGCCGCGCUCCAAGCGGCUCUUCCGAGACCUGGUGAGCCUGCAGGUGCCCGAGGAACAGGUUCUAAACGCUGCGCUGAGGGAGAAACUGGCGCUGCUGCCACCGCAGGCCCGAGCCCCGCCCCCAAAG